rnacentral:rRNA from 1 species
GGCGGACGGGUGAGGAACACGUGGGGAACCUGCCCACACGCGGGGGAUAACCUCGGGAAACCGAGGGUAAGACCCCAUGAGCUUGGGUGGCGAGAGGCCGGCCAAGCAAAAGCGCAAGCUGCGGGUGGAGGGCCCUGCGGCCUAUCAGCUAGACGGUGGGGUAACGGCUCACCGUGGCCAUGACGGGUCGCUGGUCUGAGAGGACGAUCAGCCACACGGGGACUGAGACACGGCCCCGACUCCUACGGGAGGCAGCAGCAAGGAAUUUUCCGCAAUGGGCGAAAGCCUGACGGAGCGACGCCGCGUGGAGGAUGACCCCCUUCGGGGCGUAAACUCCUUUUGUGGGGGACGAAGCAAGUGACGGUACCCCACGAAGAAGCACCGGCUAACUACGUGCCAGCAGCCGCGGUAAGACGUAGGGUGCAAGCGUUGUCCGGAGUUACUGGGCGUAAAGGGCGCGUAGGCGGUUGCCCGCGUCGCACGUGAAAGCCCCCGGCUCAACCGGGGAGGGUCGUGCGAGACGGGGCAACUGGAGGCAGGGAGAGGCUGGUGGAAUUCCCGGUGUAGUGGUGAAAUGCGUAGAGAUCGGGAGUAACACCUGAGGUGAAGGCGGCC